rnacentral:rRNA from 1 species
ACGCGAAGAACCUUACCUGGGCUCGAAAUGUAGUCGACCGUCUCAGAGAUGAGGCUUUCCCGCAAGGGACGGCUGCAUAGGUGCUGCAUGGCUGUCGUCAGCUCGUGUCGUGAGAUGUUGGGUUAAGUCCCGCAACGAGCGCAACCCUCACCGUUAGUUGCUCACCCGCAAGGGAAGCACCCUAACGGAACUGCCUCAGAUAAUGGGGAGGAAGGUGGGGAUGACGUCAAGUCCUCAUGGCCUUUAUGUCCAGGGCUACACACGUGCUACAAUGGCCGGUACAAAGCGUCGCGAACCCGCGAGGGGGAGCCAAUCGCAAAAAGCCGGUCUCAGUUCGGAUUGCAGGCUGCAACUCGCCUGCAUGAAGCUGGAAUCGCUAGUAAUCGCGUAUCAGAACGACGCGGUGAAUACGUUCCCGGGCCUUGUA